rnacentral:misc_RNA from 1 species
CCGAGUUAUACAACUCAUCAACCCUGUGAACAUACCUAUAACGUUGCCUCGGCGGGAACAGACGGCCCCGUAACACGGGACGCCCGCCAGAGGUUACCCCUAACUCUGUUCUAUAUGUACUUCUGAGUAAACCAGCAAAUAAAU